AUGAAUUGAUCCUUCAUAAGAAAAUAAUCAGAGAAAAAUUCAAUUGACACCUGAUUAGAAUCACAGAACUGAGACACUGAAAUGAGAAUAGUUUUGGCAGAAGGUACACAAAGAACAUUAAAAAGGUGGCACAAUUUGGUGGGAAAGGAGAUAGUACUAGAACCAACAUGAGAGAUUGACAAACCUAACCCAUCUGUGAGAUGCAGCUCAUCACUUCCAUCGUAUGGUGAGUGGAGAGAGAUUUCUCAGAUCAUUUGUGAUGUGAUGAGAUGCUUCAGUGUCUAGCAACCAUUGUUGAUUAGAACCUGAAUUUGUAUUAGAAUAAUGUGCUUGUGGAUUCUGAGAGAAUAAGUCUCAGAAAUAAUCUUGAGCUCUAAAGCAUUGUUUGACAUUGUGGCCAAAUUUGUCACAAAACUAACAUUGGACUUUUGCUUGGGUAGCUAAGCCUCGAAUGUGAGAAAAGAGCAUG
rnacentral:misc_RNA from 1 species